AAGAGCUUAGGAUAACCCUCUAACCAAGGGCCUUCAAAGCCCUAAGUGGGGGUGAAAGGCCCCCAGCUCUUG
rnacentral:tRNA from 1 species